GCGUUUGCGUGUCUAUAAUGCAGUCGAGCGAUGGAUUAAGAGCUUGCUCUUAUGAAGUUAGCGGCGGACGGGUGAGUAACACGUGGGUAACCUGCCCAUAAGACUGGGAUAACUCCGGGAAACCGGGGCUAAUACCGGAUAACAUUUUGAACCGCAUGGUUCGAAAUUGAAAGGCGGCUUCGGCUGUCACUUAUGGAUGGACCCGCGUCGCAUUAGCUAGUUGGUGAGGUAACGGCUCACCAAGGCAACGAUGCGUAGCCGACCUGAGAGGGUGAUCGGCCACACUGGGACUGAGACACGGCCCAGACUCCUACGGGAGGCAGCAGUAGGGAAUCUUCCGCAAUGGACGAAAGUCUGACGGAGCAACGCCGCGUGAGUGAUGAAGGCUUUCGGGUCGUAAAACUCUGUUGUUAGGGAAGAACAAGUGCUAGUUGAAUAAGCUGGCACCUUGACGGUACCUAACCAGAAAGCCACGGCUAACUACGUGCCAGCAGCCGCGGUAAUACGUAGGUGGCAAGCGUUAUCCGGAAUUAUUGGGCGUAAAGCGCGCGCAGGUGGUUUCUUAAGUCUGAUGUGAAAGCCCACGGCUCAACCGUGGAGGGUCAUUGGAAACUGGGAGACUUGAGUGCAGAAAAAGAAAGUGGAAUUCCAUGUGUAACGGUGAAAUGCGUACAGAUAUGGAGGAACACCAGUGGCGAAAGCGACUUUCUGGGCUGUAGCUGACACUCAGGCGCGAAACCGUGGGGAGCACACACGAGGAAGAUACCCCCGGGGGUCCACGCCCCUAAACCAUAAGUGGUGAAUAGUUGAAAAGGGGGUCCCCCCCUUUUUUGCUGGAAGAUGGCACCACCUAUUAACUCCUCCCCGGGGGAGUGAUUCCCGCCUGGGCUGGAAGAUCCCCCGGAGGGAAUGGAGCGGGGGGGCCCUAAACAAACGGGAAGGAAAGAAGGUGGUUUUCAUUCCGGAAGCUACCGGAAAAAAAAUCCUUAACGAAGGGACUGGGCCGUCCCCAAAAACAUACCAAAGAGGGGGGGGGGCCUUUCCCUUUAACGGGGACCGUGGGGGGGACUUGGGUUGUGGGCAAGGGGUUUGCCGGGCCCCCCCCUGGGAAACAGAAAAAUUUUUUGGGGUUCAACUCCCCCAGAAAAAAAGAAAUGGGAAAUCCCAAAGGGAAAUCGGAAAUUGGCCCACAACUUAAAAAUUUUGGGGGGCCCUUUUAAAAAAGGGGAUACUCGGGCGGGGUAAACAAAAAACGGAAAAAAAAAGGGGGGGGGGGAAAGCCCUCUCCCAAAUAAAAAAGGGGGGGCCUGGUUGUUAAAACCCUUGGGGGGCCCCCAGAGGGUGUGGGCACAAUAAAGGGGGGGGGAGGGGGGGAGAAAAAAACGCCCCCCCCCAAACGGCCCGCCGGUGGGUGGGGGGGGAACUCCCUCUUUUAAACACAACAACCUCUACUGGGGGUGUUUUUUGAGGGGGGGUAAAAGAAUGGGGGGGCCCCCGCGGGCGCAAACCCUAAAGGGGAAACAACCAGGGGGGAAAAAAAGGGGGCGCGGUUUUUUUAAAUAGGAGGGAAAUGGAAAACAGGGACAGAGAACGCUGGCUUUCCACGACCCCAACGGGGUGGGGGGUAUAAAAGGGCCACACCCCUUUUUUUUUCCGUCCCCUCCCCGGGGGUGGAGUGUUUCCCCGCCGCCAGCACCAGGUUUUUUCUACCACCCCCCCCCAAAAAAAAAAAAUUAUAGGGUGGGGUGGGGGUGUUAUACACACCACCACAAAUGUUUUAUUUUUAGUCAGGGGAGGGGGGGGUUUUAAAAAAAAAAAGGGGUGGGGGGGAAAAAAAAAACAACAAAAACCCCGAGGGGGGAGGAGAGAAGUUGUUGGAGAAAGAAUAAAUUUUUUGGGGGGGGGGGGGAGUCUUCAAAAACGGGGGGCCCCCCUCCAAAAGGGGGGGGGGGGGCCCACCCGACGAAUAAUUCCCG
rnacentral:rRNA from 1 species